GAAGCUGUCCAUAAGAAGGGGGGUACUGUUACGGUUCAGACCCCUGCCAGCGCCGCUCGUCCAUCUGUGCGCCACUCGGGGCACGCCCACGGGCGCACACAUCCAGGAACGAGCCGCGCGCGUCCCCGCCCUGCAGCAGCUGCCAGCUGCAAUCAGUCACCUGCAAACUUCACACCUGAUGGUAAUGACGGAGCUGCCUUUAUAGACCUGGACAACCUGCCAUCACUGGCCGGAUUAUAGCCAUCUGUACCUGACUCUUCCCGUGUUUCUCCUGGAUCCCCUGUUGUUCCCCUUGCCCCCCGGACUGCCUUUUGGAUUCUCGACCUCCCGCUUGGACACGUUUUCCCACGGACUUCCGCGUUACUUCACUUCCGUCAACAUUUUGGUAAGACAUCCUUCAGCUAAUCUACACACAUAGCCUUACACCAUACACACUUGAGUUUUGAUCAGACUUCAUUUCCUUGGUUUAUUCAUUAGCAGUAUUAGUAUUAUUAUUAUUAUUAGUAGUACUACAGAUUUAUGUAUAUAUUUACUAUAUAUAAUAAAUCUUUGGAGAUACUGCCA